UACGGAGGAUGCGAGCGUUAUCCGGAUUUAUUGGGUUUAAAGGGUGCGCAGGCGGCCUGUUAAGUCAGCGGUAAAAGCCCGGGGCUCAACCCCGGCGAGCCGUUGAAACUGGCUGUCUUGAGAUGUCGAGAGGUAUGCGGAAUGCGCAGUGUAGCGGUGAAAUGCGUAGAUAUUAGGAGGAACACCAGUGGCGAAGGCGGGUUCCUGGACAUUAACUGACGCUGAGGCACGAAGGCCAGGGGAGCGAAAGGG
rnacentral:rRNA from 1 species